CAGUAGCCACGGUAAUACGUAGGUCCCGAGCGUUGUCCGGAUUUAUUGGGCGUAAAGCGAGCGCAGGCGGUUAGAUAAGUCUGAAGUUAAAGGCUGUGGCUUAACCAUAGUACGCUUUGGAAACUGUUUAACUUGAGUGCAAGAGGGGAGAGUGGAAUUCCAUGUGUAGCGGUGAAAUGCGUAGAUAUAUGGAGGAACACCGGUGGCGAGAGCGGCUCUCUGGCUUGUAACUGACGCUGAGGCUCGAAAGCGUGGGGAGCAAACAGGAUUAGAUACCCCAGUAGUCCCUGUCUCUUAUACA
rnacentral:rRNA from 1 species